GCCUCUGUAGCUCAGUUGGUUAGAGCGCUGCAUCGGAAUCGCAGGGCCUUAGGUUCGAUUCCUACCAGAGGAC
rnacentral:tRNA from 1 species